rnacentral:miRNA from 1 species
UUCAGUUUCUUCUAAUAUCUCA